rnacentral:rRNA from 1 species
GAUGAACGCUGGCGGCGUGCCUAAUACAUGCAAGUCGAGCGAACAGACGAGGAGCUUGCUCCUCUGACGUUAGCGGCGGACGGGUGAGUAACACGUGGAUAACCUACCUAUAAGACUGGGAUAACUUCGGGAAACCGGAGCUAAUACCGGAUAAUAUAUUGAACCGCAUGGUUCACUAGUGAAAGACGGUUUUGCUGUCACUUAUAGAUGGAUCCGCGCCGCAUUCGCUAGUUGGUAAGGUAACGGCUUACCAAGGCGACGAUGCGUAGCCGACCUGAGAGGGUGAUCGGCCACACUGGAACUGAGACACGGUCCAGACUCCUACGGGAGGCAGCAGUAGGGAAUCUUCCGCAAUGGGCGAAAGCCUGACGGAGCAACGCCGCGUGAGUGAUGAAGGUCUUCGGAUCGUAAAACUCUGUUAUUAGGGAAGAACAAAUGUGUAAGUAACUAUGCACGUCUUGACGGUACCUAAUCAGAAAGCCACGGCUAACUACGUG